rnacentral:rRNA from 1 species
UACGGAGGAUGCGAGCGUUAUCCGGAUUUAUUGGGUUUAAAGGGUGCGUAGGCGGGAUGCCAAGUCAGCGGUAAAAAUGCGGUGCUCAACGCCGUCGAGCCGUUGAAACUGGCGUUCUUGAGUGGGCGAGAAGUAUGCGGAAUGCGUGGUGUAGCGGUGAAAUGCAUAGAUAUCACGCAGAACUCCGAUUGCGAAGGCAGCAUACCGGCGCCCUACUGACGCUGAGGCACGAAAGCGUGGGGAGCGAACAGG